AGGAGUGGGCGGAGUUAGGAUGGCUGCGCCACUGUUGCCGAGGCGACGCCUUGGUUACUUCCGUUGGUUUCAAUGCUUCCGGGUUGGCGCUGCGGUGGCGUUUCCUACUGUGGUAGCCUCCGCUUCCCAGUCGUCUGCUGAGCUUGAGCAGCAUCAGAAAAGUUCCGCUUUAAGCCAUGAGAUGUCUGGUCUGAACUGGAAACCUUUUGUGUAUGGCGGCCUUGCCUCUAUUGUUGCCGAGUUCGGCACUUUCCCUGUGGAUCUUACUAAAACACGGCUGCAAGUCCAAGGUCAGAGUAUCGAUGUCCGUUUCAAAGAAAUAAAAUAUAGAGGGAUGUUUCACGCCUUGUUCCGAAUCUAUAGAGAAGAAGGCAUCUUGGCCCUGUAUUCGGGAAUUGCCCCUGCUUUACUAAGACAGGCAUCAUAUGGCACCAUCAAAAUUGGUAUUUAUCAAAGCUUGAAGCGAUUAUUUGUAGAACGUUUGGAAGAUGAGACUCUCCUAAUUAAUAUGAUCUGUGGAGUAGUGUCAGGAGUGAUUUCAUCUACUAUUGCCAACCCCACUGAUGUUCUAAAGAUUCGAAUGCAGGCUCAAGGAAGCUUGUUCCAAGGGAGCAUGAUUGGCAGCUUCAUAGAUAUAUACCAGCAGGAAGGCACCAGGGGUCUGUGGAGAGGUGUGGUCCCAACUGCUCAGCGUGCUGCCAUCGUUGUGGGAGUAGAGUUGCCAGUUUAUGAUAUUACCAAGAAGCACCUGAUAGUUUCGGGAAUGCUGGGAGACACAAUUUUAACACACUUUGUUUCCAGCUUUACCUGUGGUUUGGCUGGGGCUCUGGCAUCUAACCCUGUGGAUGUGGUGAGAACUCGAAUGAUGAAUCAGAGGGCAAUAGUGGGACAUGUGGACCUCUACAAGGGUACUUUGGAUGGUAUUUUAAAGGUUUUAAUUAAGAGAUUGGAGAGAUAGCCCAGCAGUUAAGUUCCAAAGGCCUUGUAUUCGGUUCCCAGCACCCACAAGGUACUUAUAACUCCAGGGGAUCCAUCGCCUUCUUCUGGCCUUCAUAAGUACUGCGUGUACAUGGUGAGUGAUACACAUGCAGGCAAACACCUAUACACAUGAAAUAAAAUAUUUUAAUAAGAUUUACUAUAACCCAUAUCUGACAAGCUCAAAUAAGAGAGAGACUCUGUAGUAGAAAGCCCGGUACUUAAGAAACCUCAAAACCCAGUCUUUGAUUUAAGUUUCAGGUUCUCUUGAUCACAUUUUGCUUCUAGCAUUUCUGCUGGGGUUGAAUAUCCUAAAUGUAUAUAGAAGUAUUGGUUACAUUACUGCUAUAAAAACAAAUUCAGGGAUAGAAUAUGAAGGGGCCAUAUGGUUUUUCAUGCUCUUAUCAGUUUCAUUGAACAAGUAUAUAUUAUUUAUGGGACAUUAUCUUAACAGCUACAGGGAAAUUAUCACUACUCCUAAAGCACUGGCAGUUACAAACAGAUAAUCAAUAUAGCCUAAUAAGUGAUAAACUCAGAAAUCUAUGGUAGGAAAUUAUAGCCCACACUUGAGAAGUUUGACAUAAACUCUCAAGGGAUGUUCGUAAAUUGAGGAAUAAUAGCUCACAUCUGUUGUAUGCUUUAUUAUAUGACAGGAGCUGUUCUAAUGAGACUUAUGUGUAUUUAGUCAUUUAAUUCUCCCCAUUAUCCCCUGAGAUAGAUAUUGAUGCACUGAAGGAUCAGAUCACCUCCCUCAGAAUUUCAUGGUUAGCAAGUAGGAAUGCUGCAAUAAACUGAGACCUUUGGGUUAUAGACGCAUUCUUUACUAAUACACCUGACACUUUUCUCCCAUUAGUGACUGUAGGUUGGGUUAUAAGACAUAUUGAGUGUUGUACUGAGAUGGCUGGAGACAUUGAAAGCUUUAACCAGGUUCCAUUUUUAUUUUAAGCAUAUCACUUUGUCUGUGUGGAAAUAGGGUCUAAGAUAGUGGUUCUCCAUCUUGAGUACACAUUGAAAUUACUAAUCUCACAGCUCCCAUGUUUGCCAUAAAUCAGUCAACUCAGAACUGGGGUUAUCAAUAUUUUUAGAAAUUCACAUGUGGUUGUAUGUUCAUUUAAACCUGAAGACCACCAAUCUAAGUGGGGCAGUAAAUGGGUCUUCUACGUUUAACUUGCUUCAGAACUACCUGAAUUAACUUAUAUGUCAGAAAUGGGAUUUGAGAAUUUGUAUUUCCAGAAAGGUCCCAGGUAGUACUGAUGCUGAUCUGAUUGACUUAAAGAGCCACUGACCUGGAGGUAAGGUUGAUUAGAAGUCUUAUAUUACCUGAGUGCUGGAGGAUGAAGGUCCAAGCUUCAAUAUGACGGAGGCAGAGAGAAGGGACAGAAUCGAGACUAAUUCAGUUGAGUAAGUCACUACAGUUUUGUUGAGAUUAUGUAGACAGGAAGAGGAGGUGUCAAAGAUGACUUCCUGGAUUUGGAUUUGGUGACCAGAUGAUGACAUUUAGUGAUGGACACAUCAUAAGAACAGGGCUCAGCAGUUCAAAGCACACUGGGUACUCUUACAGAGGGCCUGGGUUCAGUUUUCAGCACCCAGUUUUAUGACCAUUUUCAAUUCCAGGGAAUCCCAACACUGUCUUCUGGCCUCUGUGGGUGCUAGGCUUCAGUGUGGUAUACAGACAAACAUGCAGACAAGACAUCUAUACACAUACAAAAUAAAAUGAAGAAAUUAAAGAACAGAUUUUGCAGGAGACGUGGUUUUUGAUGGUUAGUUUGAUGUGUAUGGGGAAUAGCCAGUGGUAUUCGGAGACGAUAGUUCUAACUGGGUUUGUGGUUAAAGGUGAGCAUCUGUGGGGUCAUUUGCAUACAGGGUAUAACCAACUGGAGAAGGUAGAGUAGUUCAUAGUCUCUUUCCUUCUUGAGGAUCUAAAGUUCUAUAGAAUUGUUUGUAGUAAAGUCUUGUUCCAAACGGCAUCCUGCACAGAAUCCAUGCGGCAGUCAGGGCGCUCACUACUUUUGUAAGGAAAUGUAGAGUCUUUAGGAUCCUUUGCUUUCCUCUACUCGUUAUUCUCUCCCUUUUCUGCAUUCCAGUUGUACUGAGAGUUGUCCAGCAUAGAUGUUUUUCUUCCAAGUGCCCAUCCAUAACUUACUGUCUUAGACACUCGCUGCAACACCUUAAAUGUGCCUUCUGCCUUCCGCACUCCUCUUCAUUCUCCACAUCUCCUAUCACUUCCCACAAAGAAAGGCCUUUACUGACCAUUGCACUAGGUUGCAAAUGUAGUUUCUUCUUUUCUUAUCUCCCUGAAAAGUGAUUAAUUAGUUAAUUAAUUAAUCGAAAAAGUAUCUUGCUAUGUAGCUGAGAUUGGUGUGAAACUCACAAUUUACCCCACACGGGUCCCAAAUAUAAGAUUCCCCAACCUCUGCUUUUUGAGUGUGCAAGAAGGGUUUUUAUAGUUUCUGUCAAAGUAUUACCGCCCCCACGUACUUUCUCUUUCUCAAUUUAAAACUUCCCUGAAAAUAAAUUAACAUAUUGUCAAGAUAAUGUAUUCAAAAUAGUUUGUAGAAGACAGCAUUGUAGUAAAUAACAGAUAUAUAUGACACUUACAUUUUAGGACAUUUUUAUGACCCGAAAACAACCUAUAUACCCUUUACACCACCUCUGUUUCUCCUAUCCAUUUAGUUCAAGAAAAUGCUAGCUUCCUUCCUAUUUCUAUCAAUAUGUCUGUUCUAGAUAUUUCAUAGAAGUGGAAUCAUAUUGUGUGACCUUUUUAAUUGGUUUCUUUCAAGUAAUGUGCUUUCAGUGUCCAUUCGGAGUAGUAUAUAGCAACUCUCUGCUUCUUUUUAUUGCCGAAUUGUACUGUUUUCAUUACAUUCUGUAGCUACAUCACAUUUUAUUCAUAUUUACUACAUUUUAUUGGAUUGGCUUUCACUGGUUAUCUCAGUAAAGUUUCAUGAAAAUAGAGGCAAACAUUUCCGUUUAUCACUUUUCUAGGACAAAUUAUUUAUGAAAUCCCUUUAUUGCACAGCAAUAGAUACCUUAUACAAUCCAUGCCCCUAUAGAAUGUAUGUUCUAGUGAGGUUGACAAACAAAUGCACAAAUUAAUGUAAACAGAACAGACAGAUAUUGGUAGAUAUUAACGUAUUGACAUAUAUUUUUAUAUAUUUAAUGCAGAGCCCUGUUAUCUGUCUUUAUCUGCAGAAGUUAUUUGUUUACACACAACCUGAUUCUUCAAAUAUCCUGGAGCUUUAUAAGGAUUCAGAUAAGUCUUAGAACUGUUAGAACAUCAUACUAUUUUUGUGUGUCUUUCUAUUCAACAAAUUUAUAUUCAACAAAACUUUAACAUGCCAAGAUCUAUGAGGUGGUGUGGAUAUAAAGGCGAAUACGGCAAACAUUGUUCAUUCCCUAUUGGAAGUUCUGUUGUAGUUGGAAAAGCUAGAUAAUUUUAGAAGUAAAUACUAGGAAGAAAAUAAGAGCAUGUUGAAAUGGUAACUUGGUGGUCUGAAUUCCCACAGUAGGAUGCUUAAGAAAGGCUUAUGGAUAAUUUGAAUGAUGGGAAGGAGGUAGUCAUGUGAAAAUAAUAAAGAACAGAUUAUAAAGGGCCUGAGUUGAAAUGGGUUUGACAUAUUCAAGAGUUUAAAAGGAUUAUAUGGCUGAGUGUGGUGAAUUAAUGAGAAAAUAACAGGACGUCAAUCUGCAGAGAGGGACAGGGUUUGAAUCAUGUAGGAUCCUGUGGACCAUUGCAGAAAACUUAAAAUUAGAAUGAAAGCCACCUCAGAACUUUUUAAGUACAAAUGUAAUGUGGUCUGAUUCAAAAUUGUUUAUUUUUAGAGAUGGGUCUCUCUGUUUGUCCUGGAACCCCGAUCUGUAGAACAGGCUGACUUUGAACUCACAGAGAUCUGCCUGCCUCUGAUUCCAGAGUGCUGGGGUUAAAGGUGUGUGCUUAUGCCCCCCACAACAUGGCAUGAUUUAUAAUUCUUUGAUUUUAGUUUGUAGGUGGAGAUCUUUGGUCAGUUCGGAAUUUAUUGUGGUGAUUGAAAUAAGAGGUUUGGAUCAUCUCCGAGGUCCCUCGUCAUUUAAUCCCGUAAUUUUAGGUUAUCUGCAUCUCUCCUUCAUUUUGAGUCAUUUUCAAAGUUAAAACAUGAAUUUUGGCCUGAGUCCUUCAGAAGUUACUAGAGGUAGAAGCAUAUUAUCAAUGGCUGUCUAUAAGUAACUUCACUGUUAACUAUCCCCUCCCCCAAGUGGUUAAUAAUGACACUAAUUUCUGGGCUUUUAAAUGGCGGGAUGGGAAAAAGAGUGAUAUUUGAAAAUCUGGCUUCUCAUAUCAUUAUCUUAUUAAGAUGUAUCAGUUUCUUAACAGUGGUAAAAUUCAAUUCACUAAUGGAAAGGCAGAACAACAUUUUUCAGUAUCUCACAAAACACCCAACAUAUUGUCAUUACUUAAUAGAUAUUUGUCUAUUAUAUACCAGGUAUGGCAGAAUUCAUAUGACAUCAGCUUUUGACCUUUCCUAUGUCAUCUAGUUCUUGAAACCAUUUGAUGUAUAGAGAGACCCCUCCUGUAUAAAUCAGGGCACCAAAAUGCAAAGCAGUUCGUGUUAUUCCUCCCUCAGCCCUCAAAGCAUGAAAGCCACCAUGGAGUCCCACUAAUUUUAAAGAUGUGGAAACAUGAGGGAUUUUUUGCACUCUAUAAAGGAUUUUGGCCAAACUGGCUUCGACUUGGACCCUGGAACAUCAUU